AGUGCCAUUAGUGGGUGGUGCCCAAGUAGUGCCAUUUGUGGGUGGUGCCCAGGUGGUCGAUUGCGCAGUUGUGGGGUUGGUGAUGGGUCCCCAGGUAGUGCCGUUGGUAGGUGGUGCCCAGGUAGUGCCAUUAGUGGGUGGCGCCCAGGUGGUCGGUUGCCAAGUAGUGCCAUUUGUGACGGGUCCCCAGGUAGUGCCAUUGGUUAUGGGCUCCCAAGUAGUGC
rnacentral:lncRNA from 1 species